GCAAUAGCUACUUGCAUCAUUGUAAAUAUGAUGCAAGAUCGACUAUGUCGAAUAAAAUUCUAGGUAGAAUUAUGAUAAUGACAUUGUCUGCCUAUGUGUCUUGACCAAAUUACGUGCCAGCUGUCGCGGUAAUACGUAGAAGACUAGUGUUAUUCAUGUUUAAUCGGUUUAAAGGGUACCUAGACGGUAAAUCAAGCCUAAAAAGAAGGAAAUAAAGGGACUAAUUUACUAGAGUUACUUAUGAGGGGGUAUUAAAGUACUGCUGGUGUAGAGAUGAAAUUCUGUCAUACCUCUUUUCAAUAGAAAAAUAAUGGCACAGGUAUAGGCGAAGGCAUCCCCUUAUGUGAUAACUGACGUUGAGGGACGAAGGCUUUGUGUAGCGAACAGGAUUAGAUACCCCAGUAGUCAAAGCAGAAAAUGAUGAAUGUCAUAGAUUAGAUAUAUAAGUUUAUUCUAUAAAUGAAAGUGUAAGCAUUCCACCUCAAGAGUAAUUUGGCAACAUUGGAACUGAAAUCAUUAGACCGUUUCUGAAACCAGUAGUGAAGUAUGUUGUUUAAUUUGAUAAUCCGCAAAAAACCUUACCACAAUUUGAAUAUUUAUAUUUUUUUUUAUUGUUUUUCUUUUUAAUUAUCUUCCGAUUUUCUAGUUAAAGGAAAACUAGAAGAAAAAGAAAAAAAGGCAAUAA
rnacentral:rRNA from 1 species